rnacentral:rRNA from 1 species
UACGUAGGGGGCAAGCGUGGUCCGGAAUCAUUGGGCGGAAGGCGCGUGUAGGCGGCCAGAAAAGUCCGCUGUGAAAACUCGAGGCUCAACUUCGAGCUGUCGGUGGAAACUUUCUGGCUAGAGUCCGGAAGAGGAGAAUGGAAUUCCUGGUGUAGCGGUGAAAUGCGUAGAUAUCAGGAGGAAUACCGGUGGCGACGGCGGCCUUCUGGACGGUGACUGACGCUGAGACGCGAAAGCGUGGGGAGCAAUCAGG